rnacentral:rRNA from 1 species
AUUGAACGCUGGCGGCAGGCCUAACACAUGCAAGUCGAGCGGUAGAGAGGUGCUUGCAUCUCUUGAGAGCGGCGGACGGGUGAGUAAUGCCUAGGAAUCUGCCUAGUGGUGGGGGAUAAACGUUUCGGAAACGGACGCUAAUACCGCAUACGUCCUACGGGAGAAAGCGGGGGAUCUUCGGACCUCGCGCCAUUAGAUGAGCCUAGGUCGGAUUAGCUAGUUGGUGAGGUAAUGGCUCACCAAGGCGACGAUCCGUAACUGGUCUGAGAGGAUGAUCAGUCACACUGGAACUGAGACGCGGCCCAGACUCCUACGGGAGGCAGCAGUGGGGAAUAUUGGACAAUGGGCG